rnacentral:lncRNA from 1 species
GUUCACUUUUUGCAUAUUUAUUAUGAACAUAAACUUUCUGUCAUUAGUCUUGACAUACAAAGCCACUGCUACAACUACUUAUUGACAGGAAAGCUUCUUCGAUUAAACUAUGGCAUUCUUUAUGUUAAACUCUGACUAUUCCAGAAUUAACAUUCCAAAACUUAAAGAAAAGACAACAUAUUGGGCAAUGUGUCAUGGAAUAUUAAUGGGAACAAAAGGAUCUGUUGCUUCAUCUUACUGUUCUGAUCAUGCACCUUUUGCUUUGUUUCCAUCUGUAAUCUUGCGUUCUUUGCUUGAAGAAGCCUACUCUGUGCAAGUUGAUUUUAAUUUACUAAUUCACAAAGUUGCACAUGAUUAUAAUUUUCUCUGCAACUCACUAAAAAGGU